rnacentral:rRNA from 1 species
UUAGAGUUUUGAUCCUGGCUCAGGAAUGAACGCUGGCGGCGUGCUUAACACAUGCAAGUCGAACGGUGAAGCAGGAGCUUGCUCUUGUGGAUCAGUGGCGAACGGGUGAGUAACACGUGAGCAACCUGCCCCUGACUCUGGGAUAAGCGCUGGAAACGGCGUCUAAUACUGGAUAUGUGACGUGACCGCAUGGUCUGCGUUUGGAAAGAUUUUUCGGUUGGGGAUGGGCUCGCGGCCUAUCAGCUUGUUGGUGAGGUAAUGGCUCACCAAGGCGUCGACGGGUAGCCGGCCUGAGAGGGUGACCGGCCACACUGGGACUGAGACACGGCCCAGACUCCUACGGGAGGCAGCAGUGGGGAAUAUUGCACAAUGGGCGAAAGCCUGAUGCAGCAACGCCGCGUGAGGGAUGACGGCCUUCGGGUUGUAAACCUCUUUUAGCAGGGAAGAAGCGAAAGUGACGGUACCUGCAGAAAAAGCGCCGGCUAACUACGUGCCAGCAGCCGCGGUAAUACGUAGGGCGCAAGCGUUAUCCGGAAUUAUUGGGCGUAAAGAGCUCGUAGGCGGUUUGUCGCGUCUGCUGUGAAAUCCCGAGGCUCAACCUCGGGCCUGCAGUGGGUACGGGCAGACUAGAGUGCGGUAGGGGAGAUUGGAAUUCCUGGUGUAGCGGUGGAAUGCGCAGAUAUCAGGAGGAACACCGAGGCGAAGGCAGUUCGGGCCGUAACGACGUAGAGGAAAGUGGAGCACUGGGCUGAUCCAGUAG